rnacentral:rRNA from 1 species
UACGUAGGCAGCAAGCGUUGUUCGGAAUUACUGGGCGUAAAGAGUGUGUAGGCGGUGCUCCAAGUCUGGGUGUGAAAUCUCCCGGCUUAACUGGGAGGGUGCAUUAGAAACUGGAAUGCUAGAGGAUGGGAGAGGUAAGCGGAAUUCCUGGUGUAGCGGUGAAAUGCGCAGAUAUCAGGAGGAACACCGGUGGCGAAGGCGGGUCUCUGGGCAGUAACUGACGCUGGAGGAGCGAAAGCCGUGGGGGAGCGAACAGG